rnacentral:rRNA from 1 species
UACGUAGGGUGCAAGCGUUGUCCGGAAUUAUUGGGCGUAAAGAGCGUGUGGGCGGCCCGAUUAGUCCGCUGUGAAAGUCCAGGGCUCAACCCUGGAAUGCCGGUGGAUACUGUCGGGCUAGAGUCCGGAAGGGGCGAGUGGAAUUCCUGGUGUAGCGGUGAAAUGCGCAGAUAUCAGGAGGAACACCAAUGGCGAAGGCAGCUCGCUGGGACGUGACUGACGCUGAGACGCGAAAGCGUGGGGAGCAAACAGG